rnacentral:rRNA from 1 species
GACGAACGCUGGCGGCGUGCCUAACACAUGCAAGUCGAGCGGGGACAUGAGGAAGCUUGCUUCCGAGUGUUCUAGCGGCGGACGGGGUGAGUAACGCGUGAGCAACCUUUCUCUCAGUGGGGAAUAACACAGGGGAAACUUGUACUAAUACCGCAUGAGACCACAGCAUCGCAUGGUGCAGGGGUCAAAGAUUUAUCGCUUGAAGAUGGACUCGCGUCUGAUUAGCUAGUUGGUGGGGUAACGGCGUCACCAAGGCGACGAUCAGUAGCCGAACUGAGAGGUUGAUCGGCCACGAUUGGGACUGAGACACGGCCCAGACUCCUACGGGAGGCAGCAGUGGGGGAUAUUGCACAAUGGGGGAAACCCUGAUGCAGCAACGCCGCGUGAGGGAACGAAGGUCUUC